rnacentral:tRNA from 1 species
GCCUGGGUGGCUCAGUCAGUUGAGUAUCUGACUUCGGCUCAGGUCACGAUCUCACGGUCCGUGGGUUCGAGCCCCGCGUCGGGCU